GUCUUUUUGAGGUAUAAAAAAGGUUUAUUCUGCUCAAUGAUUAUUUUUCAAUAGCUGCGGUAAUUUGACUGUGCAAAGGUAGCGUAAUCAAUAGUUUUUUAAUUGAAAACUAGAAUGAAUGAAUGGAUAUAUAAAGAUUGUCUAAUUUUAAUGUUAGUUGAAUUUAACUUAUAAGUAAGAAGGCUUAUAUAAAUAUAAGGGACGAUGAGACCCUAUAGAACUUAAAUUAUUUUAUGUGAUUAAAAAUAAAGUUUUAGUUGGGGUGAUUAAAAGAAUAAAAUAACUUUUUAAAAAUUUUACAUUUAUUUAUGAUUUUAAGAAUAAAAAGUUUUAUUAAAGAGAAGUUACCUUAGGGAUAACAGCAUAAUUUUUUUAGAAAGUUCUUAUUAAUAGAAAAGUUUGUGACCUCGAUGUUGAAUUAAGUUAAAAUGAGGAUGAAGAAGUUUUUUAUUUAGGUCUGUUCGACCUUUAAAAUCUUACA
rnacentral:rRNA from 1 species